rnacentral:lncRNA from 1 species
UCCACUGCAUCUACGCAGGCCACCGUGUUUUACUCUAUCUCCAAAGUAUAUUUUCACUUUAUCUCCAAAUAAAAGGAACAUCAGGAAAUCCGAAGCGCGGAAUCUGAAUUGUUCCGUUUUCUCCCGAAUGCUUCAAUCUGAAACUUGGAUACCCGCCUUUAAUCCAGAACACAAUAAUGUUUUUCAUGAGAGACAAUUGACUGAUUUUACAGGCGGGAAUAUGGUACCAGCAGAUUAUUCAUCAAGCCAUUGCAUUUUCAUAUAAAACUGCGUUUUACCUACUUUUCAUAGUCGAACUGUGGCGUUGCGGUCUAUCCAUAGUUUCCAUCGUUACAGCGCCAAUUAAAAGCUGUUUCUUAUGGUAAACGCAAUUGAUAGCAAUAAUAAAGCUGAAGGCCAUUCAUGGAUAUCAUCAUAACGUAGGGUCAGGUGACAGCAGUGACACCUGUAUGACGUAGAAGAUUAUGCAUAUUUCUCGAUCAUCAUGCUGACGUGGUAGAUCAUUCUUAAGUUUCACACCGGUACAUUAACCGAUUGGGCAUCAAGCAACAUUCGGUAUCUGGCUCGUCAUCAACCAUGGUUUCAUCGAGUAAACGCGGGGCGAGACGAAAACUCUUCCCGGGUCUAAACUCUUCCUCGAUGUCUCCCUGGUCCACGGCAAAGACCCACACAACCCUUUAUUCGAUGCUGGCAGCUUUUAUUGGUGGUCAAAUCCUCCUCACUGGGGUGUUUCUUAUGCGGACAGCGCCCCCCUGUGACUGCCACUGCCAGUGGCGCCCCGAACUCGAGAUGAACAAGGCGAAAGCAGAUGAAAUUCAGCCCAGAGAGAUCGUCAUGAGUCCCAAGGAAGCGACACCCAGUCCAAGGAAUUUGAAUAAAACCAAAGGUGAUGCUGCUGAAAAUCAUCUAGAGAAGUACCGGCUUGAUAACAUCGGUGACAAGUUGAACAUGUCGGACCACGUAGAAGAACCUAUGACGGAGGCAGAACAGAGCUUCAGGAUUCCCGGACCCUUCACCAUCCUCACGACAACCAACACUGCCUUCAGCGAUUUGACCGAAAAUUGGUUGGAGAGCUUACGCCGGUUGGAUCGUCCUUACAACGUGACCCUCAUCGCAGAGGACUACGGUGCAUUCCAAUACCUCAAGGAUCGCAAAGACAUCAUGGUGUCCUCAAGGCUACAGAUCAACCUGAGAUUCACGGACAUGAACGUGAGCCAUUCUGCAGCUCUUGGCUUUUACACCAAGGAGUACAUUCAACUCGUUGGGAAGCGUCCGCAUUACAUCCUGGACAUACUGCGCUCAGGGGUUGGUGUCCUAUUCGCCGAUGCCGAUGCCGUCUGGCUGAGAGACCCCAUUCCUCUUAUCGCCGAUGUCUACUCAAGAUACGACGUAUGGGUGGCUCUAGGUGAAGGUGGGCAAAUCCCUUGCCCUUGUUUCAUGUACCUGAAGCCAACUCCUAGAGCUGUGGAGAUGGUCAAAGCUUGGCAAUCAAGGAUCGAGGAUCAGCUCAAUACAACGGCUCCAGAAAACGACCAGGGUGCCUUGGACUGGGUCAUGCAUAAUCACAUCCGGUACAAGAGGUUACGCGUUAAAAAGCUGGACAUGACAGCAUUUCCUACGGGACAGUCAAUGUUCUUGAAGAAGGGGUGGUACGCCGCCAACAAAAAUGAAAUAUACGUGGUGCAUGCCAACAAGGUAGGCGGAUACGCCAAGAAGAAGUUUGUAUUUAAGUGGAAAAAACUCUGGUACCUUGGAAAAGACAAAAAGGGAAAUGACACUCAUCACUGAAUGAAACACAAAUGCAAAAGGACUAAAUGUGAUAAACAUUAAAUCUUCUUGUUUUCUUAUAGGUUAGCUUUUAAUAGAGAGAUGCAGUUCUUUAAUCUAUUUAACAAAGUAGGCCUAUGAUGGAAGAAUGCCAGUAUGUGAAAAAGGAGAAAAUAUCAGAAAAUAUUAAGAAACCCGAAAUGCGAAUCUAUGGACAGUAAUGCUCCCUAGGGAGUGGAGCAUGUGCAUGCACUGUGUGCGAAUAAGCCUGAAUCCGAUGACCGGAGUAAUAAUAAUUAUGUACUGCGCCUAGAAACAAAGUAUUAGGCGCAUUAUAAAUGUGAACAAUUGUUAUUAUUACGAAAAAUAAAAUGUAACCAAUGAACACAUAUUAGUUUGCAUGGUAUUUCUAAACUUUGCUAUUCGCAAUAGAUUGCUGUUCAGUAAGUCACUUGUUUAAAGGGAAUGUAAUAACCAUUAUCAGUUUACAUAAUUACAUUGAGUAUCCGGGGGCGAUGGUGUCACUUUGUAUUGACAGCCGAGGCGUUGGUCAACAAAAUUACCUUCUAUAUUGCAUACUUCAUCGUCAUUGGGCCAACCCAGGCGCGGAUCCAGGGGAGGGGGGCCGAGCG